CUACGGGUUGCUGCAGUUAAGAAUCUUCCGCAAUGGACGAAAGUCUGACGGAGCGACGCCGCGUGGGUGAAGAAGGCCGAGAGGUUGUAAAGCCCUUUUCUGCUUGAGGAAUAAGCCUGGUAGGGAAUGACCGGGUGAUGACGGUAGGGCAGGAAUAAGCCCCGGCUAAUUACGUGCCAGCAGCCGCGGUAACACGUAUGGGGCGAGCGUUGUUCGGAAUCAUUGGGCGAAAAGGGCGUGUAGGCGGAAAUGCAAGUCUGGUGUGAAAGACCGCAGCUCAACUGCGGGGACGCGCUGGAAACUGCAUAUCUUGAGUUCCGGAGGGGGAGUUGGAAUUCCUGGUGUAGGGGUGAAAUCUGUUGAUAUCAGGAAGAACAUCGGUGGCGAAGGCGAACUCCUGGACGAGAACUGACGCUGAGGCGCGAAAGCGUGGGGAGCGAACAGGAUUAGAUACCCCCGUAGUC
rnacentral:rRNA from 1 species